UCGCGCCCUCCCUCUUCUGGGUCGGUCUUCCCUCCCCCAUUGAAGCACUGCAGAGUCAGAGCCCCGGGACCCGAGGCGGAGCCCAGCAAGGUAUUCUCAAACUUGGGAACCAGCCUUGAAGCCUGACAAAAUUACCUGGGAUGGAGCUCAGGACGACAGGCCUUUGUCUUGCUCUGUGACUGUACAUGUCACUUCUCACUUGGCCAUUCAACAAAAACUGUGGAGAGCCUACUGUCUGCUUGGGCUUCUAAAUCAUGGCUCUGACACUUUAGAUUAGAAAAUAACAAAGAAGGAAGCAUGGAAAGCUUUGCAAAAGAACUGACAUUUGAUAUGGAUUCUGACAGAUGAAAAGGAGUUCCCGGGGUGGCAUCAGUUCAUCUUCUAUAAGGGACCUGGCAGCAUCUAGCAGUGUGAUCCAGAGCCUGGUGGAGGGCUGGGAAUGCUAGCAGCUCCUCUAAUUUUUACUGCUGUAAACCAAAGGGGUCCCUUUGGCAGUUUCAUAGUCAGGUUUCAGGAGAGGCCAUUCUCCCAUACUGAGAAAAAAGACCCCAAGGAGGCUAUAUGCAGGUUCUCUGAGUGAGUUUUGGCAGGGGGUGGGUGGGAACCAGAUGUCCCAGGUGGUAUUGAGCAUGUGUCUAGACACCUGGAAACCUAAGGGAGGUGACUGCUGUUCGUUAAGUGGCCUUUAUAUAUUUUAUAGCUUUCUCACUUAGCUAGUUUUAAAUCUCCGAAGUUUGAACCUUGUAGGUUCAGCUGCUGAAAACAAAGAUGCUACAGAGGCUGUUGCCCCGUUUUUCUUUGGAUGGUCUGUCUCUGUGCCCCAAACUCACUCCCACUGGUCCUCAGGAGAAUCUAGUUUCUAGAUCUUUCUUUUGGGGACCUAGUCCCCUUGUCUCUGGUAGGACCUCACGCUGUGUGCUCUAGGGUUCCGAGUGGAGGUUCUAAUGCCCAGGCCAGCCCUCUCUCAGGUGCUAAGCUUGCUCCACAAGUCUGAAUGGGGGUGUCCAAGCCUCAGUGCUCCUAAUAGGCUGAGGACUGCUGCUGCUUGGCCUAUGACAGCUUCUGACCAGCCGGGACCUAAACUUUUCCCUUGACUGGACUCUAGUCUCAGCUUCUGAUUGGUGACACCCUCUCCCGGUUUCCUGGUGCCCUUGAACCACUGCCGACCCUUCAUGGCUUCCCUGGUGACACUUCUGCACACACACCCCUGUCCCUAGAAUGUGAGCAACUGUCCUGGGUCUUCCUGGGCUUGUUCCGUCCUCGCCCUCUGACCAUACCUGCCAAGUGGCUUGUCGGGAGGCUGGUGACACCUCCAGGGAGGGCAGCCUGCGGGCAGGGGGAGGGGACUUCAGCAAAGCUGAUGGGUCUGGAUUGCUCUGCUGUGACCUAGAAACAGGGUUUUGCAGAAUCGCCCCGUACUGCGUGCUCUCCAAACCCCUGCAAGUUUGGCAGUGGGAGGACGGAUUCCUGCACAGCUUAGUAACAAAACCCAGCACUUCCCAUUUUGAUUGCUCAGGGUUGACAAAAUGGCAACAAAGCGACUGGAUCAGGCUGGCCCAUGUCAGGAGGUACUCUGAGGCAAGAACAAGGACUUCACGUCUGCUCGCUUGUUUAGCUCUCACAACCACCCCUGGGGGAUGUAGUUUCUCUGAAAACACAAGACUCAGAGAAGUUAGGUGCCACGGCCACACAGCACAUCUAUGACAGGGUAUGAUUUUAAACCAUACCCACCGAGGCCAAGGCUCACAAGGCGCUAUGCUGCAACGAGCGCCUUCUGUUGCUCCACACACAGAGCAGCCUCAGGACAGGGGUGGGGAACUGAUAUUUCCAAAGAUAUUUAGUCUUUUCUUCUUUGAAAAAGCACAUCACUGUGCAAGCCUUCAAAUAUGACUGUGCCUCACAACUUGGUAGACAGACCUGGGUAAAUGCAGAGUGUGCAGGACAAAGGGCCGCAGCAGGAGUGCCCUGGUGGCCUUAUAAACCAGCUGGGAGGCGCUGGUCUCACCCUGCCCCAUGCCUGCAGCUGCCCCGAGCUCCUCUCGAGGGCAAGACUGCCUUGACGCUCGUCGGGGCUGUGCCCACGCACAGCUCUGGGUAAACCUUUGCCUUCACACAAGUGACCGUGUGUCCCAAGGGAUACAUUUAUGCUAAAUAGCACCUUCUGAGAUCCUGCUCCCUCCCGAAGGGAUGAUACCCAGUUUCAGACAAUCCGGAGGAGGGCCUCCUGGCCAGGCCCUUACUGGGACAGAGUAGAAAUCUCCACUCAGCCGCUACUGGACCCAACUUGCCCCUCCCUCCCUCGACUGCCCCAAAGCUCUUUUCUGCAGAGAGGGCCCCACAUCCCAAGCCCUCUGACCGCUGGCAGCCACAUCUAACCAGCCACCACUCCCAGCUUCCUAGUCACCCCCACACUGGGAGUCGGGCCAGGCUCGCAGGCAGCGUCUGGCCUGACGAGGUGGUGGCCGGGGGUGGUGGCUGUGGCUGAUUGAAGUCCCCAUUUCCCUCCUACAAAGGCAGCAUAAUUAAUCAGGCAGUAAUGAAUUCAGGUACCCCCGGCUUGUCACCUCAAGAGAUAGGCUCUCUGAGAGUGCCGGAAUUCACAAGAGGCAAUCAGGUCACCAUUAUGAUUUUUUAGUAUUAAAUGUUAAGAGGAAGAUGUAUCGGAAUUUGACCAAAAUUUUGUCUGUUUACCUUCGAGAACCCCUCGCCCAUUUUCUUUCUUAUUUAUAGUUUACUUUUGGUCAUUCUGGGUCUUUGUUGUUGUGUGUAGGCUU